rnacentral:rRNA from 1 species
GAGCCUGAGAAACGGCUACCACUUCUAAGGAAGGCAGCAGGCGCGUAAAUUACCCAAUCCUGACACAGGGAGGUAGUGACAAGAAAUAACAACUCGGGGACUUCACGUCUUACGAGAUUGCAAUGAGAACAAUUUAAAAUACUUAACGAGGAUCAAUUGGAGGGCAAGUCUGGUGCC